UACGUAGGGUGCGAGCGUUAAUCGGAAUUACUGGGCGUAAAGUGUGCGCAGGCGGCAGAGCAAGUCGAGUGUGAAAGCCCCGAGCCUAACUUGGGAAUUGCGCUCGAAACUACGUGGCUGGAGUGUGGCAGAGGAAGGUGGAAUUCCACGUGUAGCGGUGAAAUGCGUAGAGAUGUGGAGGAACACCAAUGGCGAAGGCAGCCUUCUGGGCCAACACUGACGCUCAUGCACGAAAGCGUGGGGAGCAAACAGG
rnacentral:rRNA from 1 species